UGCUCAGAAGUGAGAACGAACCCCAGUUUAGUAUGUCUGUUCUAAUCUCUUCACUAAUAUUCUGCAGGUACCUUAGCGACUGAAAGCAGUAAAGUGUUGAGUAAGGUAUUUACUUCAUGUGACCAGACUGACUUCUAUUGAUUUGAAUGAACUCCACUGACCUUUAUUUUAAAAACCCAAUUAUUUCGUAGAAAACUAGUAUAAUUGUAACUUGUAGUAUAGUAUGUCCAUGUGCUUGCUAUCCUUGGAACUCUGAAACAUGCCAGCAAUAUACUGUCAGUCAGUGAUGUAAUGAUUUGAAACUGCUACAAUAAAUUCUCAUUUUAAAAUA